UGGCAGACGGGUGAGUAACAUGUAGGUAUCUACCCUAUGGCCUGGAAUAACACGAGGAAACUUGUGCUAAUACCGGAUAAGUCUUUACGGAGAAAGCUUUAUGCACCAUUGGAUGAGCCUGCACUUGAUUAGUUUGUUGGUGGGGUAAUGGCCUACCAAGACUGUGAUCAAUAGCUGAUUUGAGAGGAUGAUCAGCCACAUUGGGACUGAGACACGGCCCAAACUCCUACGGGAGGCAGCAGUGGGGAAUCUUGCACAAUGGAGGAAACUCUGAUGCAGCGAUGCCGCGUGAGUGAAGAAGGCCCUUGGGUUGUAAAGCUCUUUCGUCGGGGAAGAAAAUGACUGUACCCGAAUAAGAAGGUCCGGCUAACUUCGUGCCAGCAGCCGCGGUAAUACGAAGGGACCUAGCGUAGUUCGGAAUUACUGGGCUUAAAGAGUUCGUAGGUGGUUGAAAAAGUUGGUGGUGAAAUCCCAGAGCUUAACUCUGGAACUGCCAUCAAAACUUUUUAGCUAGAGUAUGAUAGAGGAAAGCAGAAUUUCUAGUGUAGAGGUGAAAUUCGUAGAUAUUAGAAAGAAUACCAAUUGCGAAGGCAGCUUUCUGGAUCAUUACUGACACUGAGGAACGAAAGCAUGGGUAGCGAAGAGGAUUA
rnacentral:rRNA from 1 species